rnacentral:rRNA from 1 species
AGCGAACGCUGGCGGCAGGCCUAACACAUGCAAGUCGAACGAAGUCUUCGGACUUAGUGGCGGACGGGUGAGUAACACGUGGGAACGUGCCUUUAGGUUCGGAAUAACUCAGGGAAACUUGUGCUAAUACCGAAUGUGCCCUUCGGGGGAAAGAUUUAUCGCCUUUAGAGCGGCCCGCGUCUGAUUAGCUUGUUGGUGAGGUAAUGGCUCACCAAGGCGACGAUCAGUAGCUGGUCUGAGAGGAUGACCAGCCACAUUGGGACUGAGACACGGCCCAAACUCCUACGGGAGGCAGCAGUGGGGAAUCUUGCGCAAUGGGCGAAAGCCUGACGCAGCCAUGCCGCGUGGAUGAUGAAGGUCUUAGGAUUGUAAAAUCCUUUCACCGGUGAAGAUAAUGACUGUAGCCGGAGAAGAAGCCCCGGCUAACUUCGUGCCAGCCGCCGCUGUAAAAC